GCAUAACGCGAAGAACCUUACCCACCUUUGACAUGUACGGAAGUUGCCAGAGAUGGCUUCGUGCUCGAAAGAGAGCCGUAACACAGGUGCUGCAUGGCUGUCGUCAGCUCGUGUCGUGAGAUGUUGGGUUAAGUCCCGCAACGAGCGCAACCCUUGUCAUUAGUUGCUACGAAAGGGCACUCUAAUGAGACUGCCGGUGACAAACCGGAGGAAGGUGGGGAUGACGUCAAGUCCUCAUGGCCCUUAUAGGUGGGGCUACACACGUCAUACAAUGGCCGGUACAAAGGGCAGCCAACCCGCGAGGGGGAGCCAAUCCCAUAAAGCCGGUCGUAGUCCGGAUCGCAGUCUGCAACUCGACUGCGUGAAGUCGGAAUCGCUAGUAAUCGUGGAUCAGCAUGUCACGGUGAAUACGUUCCCGGGUCUUGUACACACCG
rnacentral:rRNA from 1 species